ACUUGGAAACUAAGCCUUAAAUAGUAAGAGUUAUACUUCUGAAAUUUAAAAAGUUUGGCGGCUUUUAGAAAAAUCAGGGGAAUUUGUAUCAUUAUCGUCAACACGCGCUAAACCUUACUUAACUUUAGUUUGUAUACCGCCGCCUAAGUAUUCUUUAUAGAGAAAGACUACAAUUAUUUAUAAGUACGUCAGGCCAUGGUGCAGCAUAGUUAAGAAGAUUACAAAUUACAAUUUAAAUCUAAUUGGAGUUAAAGUUAAAAAUUUUAAUGAAAGAGGACUUGUAAGUAAUUACUAGUUAGAAUAGAGUAAUAAAUUUAAAACUAAAAGUGUACAUAUCGCCCGUCACUCU
rnacentral:rRNA from 1 species